UAGGGAAUCUUCGGCAAUGGGGGGAACCCUGACCGAGCAACGCCGCGUGAGUGAAGAAGGUUUUCGGAUCGUAAAGCUCUGUUGUUAAGGAAGAACGAGUGUGAGAAUGGAAAGUUCAUACUGUGACGGUACUUAACCAGAAAGGGACGGCUAACUACGUGCCAGCAGCCGCGGUAAUACGUAGGUCCCGAGCGUUGUCCGGAUUGAUUGGGCGUAAAGCGAGCGCAGGCGGUUAGAUAAGUCUGAAGUUAAAGGCAGUAGCUCAACCAUUGUAGGCUUUGGAAACAGUUUAACUUGAGUGCAGAAGGGGGGAGUGGAAUUCCAUGUGUAACGGUGAAAUGCGUAGAUAUAUGGAGAAACACCGGUAGCGAGAGCGGCUCUCUGGUCUGUAACUGACGCUGAGGCUCGAAAGCGUGGGGAGCGGGCAGG
rnacentral:rRNA from 1 species